CAUAACAUUAAUUUAGAACUCCUUCAAAAAUAGUAAGCAUAAUGAAAUAUGACGAUGUUCCAAGCAAAAGAAUUUUGUCACUUUUAACAUACAAACAAUCGAUCCUAAAACUAAAGUAACACCCAUCGCAGAACUGAGGAAACACGUCCCAGGGAGAGGAAAAGUUGUCAAAUACAAAGAAACUUUUAAUAUACCACCACCGAUGGAUAUUGGUUU
rnacentral:misc_RNA from 1 species